rnacentral:lncRNA from 1 species
GGGACACGUUCUCUUGCAUGCUCACCAUCUUCAUCAGCAGGUCUGGCUGGGAGGGAUACCUGCAGCUCUUCCUAUCAGGAUUUGCUGGCUGUUCCUUGUUUCCAGAGAAGGGAGGCAUUUCUUCAGAGAAACAAGGUUGCCUUUCCUGCCAAGCCAUGAAGAACUGCAACUCUCAAAUACUCACCGUAAUCCAACCAAACAAGAGGCUAUGUCCUGUGUAGAAAACGCUGAAUUUGAAGCAUGCUGACCAAAGUCAAUAGCAUCAGAACACUGGGCACAAUAUGUGAAAACAAAUCAGAUUUUGUUCCUGUCUUUGUUGGUGGAUCCCCUGAGGCAAAUUUAGAGGCAUUCUUGGACCACUUCACAGGUUGCUACAGCUGAGUAUUCAUGCAUUGUAUCAACUCUCCCUGAGGAAUAAGUAGUUUUUAGGAAUUGUUAAUCCAUGGAAACAAGAAAAUCACAGGUUUACACAAAAGAAAUAAACAUCAACAGAACUGACA